AUGUUGACCGCCCUCCACCUCAAAAAUUUAAUGAGGUUCUUCUCUUCCACAGUCACGGCCACCGCUCCUGCCGUCUACCCGUUGAUCUCCUGCGACUGCGGGGACUGCGAGGACAACAAGAACGUCAGCUUCGGUUGCUUGGCCAACGAUUUCUUCCCCGAACCCGUCGCCAUCACGUGGGUUUCCAGCGUCAAAGGAGACAGCGAGACCUUCCCGGUCAUCCAGGGUGGAAACAGUUACUACAGCCUCAGCAGCCAGUUGACCGUCCCGGUCAGCAGCUUGGAAGGCAACAGCUUCCAGUGCAAGGUGGUCCACAGCGCCACCUCCACCACCGUCACCGAGGACAUCCCAGGUGAGAAAGAUGAUGUUUGCUGCUCUGACCCCCUGAGGACAAAGCUCCUGGGCGACCCAAACCAGUACCAUGACGAGGGAAAGGUCCUUCUGCUGUGCCUCGUCGAGGGGAAUAAAGCUGGUGACGCCCAGGUGGAAUGGUUGGUGAACCACGAGGUGGCGGACCUGCCCCAGGAGGACAACACCUGUGACCAGUGCUCCAAGGAGAAGGCCACGCUUACGAGCAAGGUCAACGUCAGCCAGCAGAGCUGGAACAACGGAGCCGAGUUCUCCUGCAGAGUGACCCACUCGUCGUUGAAGACACCUUUCGUCCUCAACAUCAGCACCUUCUGCUCAGUCAGCGUGGGGGUGGAGGUCACCAUCAUCCCCCCAUCCUUGGAGGACCUCUACCUCAGCCAGAACGCCAGCGUCACCUGCGUGGCCACCAACCUGAAAUCGUACGAGGAGGUGAAGUUCUCCUGGAGCCGGGAUCAAGGCAAGGCCUUGGAUGUGACCUCUGGGACGCCGGAGAAGCUGGAGAACGGUCUUUACCGUCUCACCAGCACCUUGAAGAUCUGCGCCGACGAGUGGAACUCCGGGGAGAAGUUCACCUGCAGCGUCAACGGUCCCGAGCUUGAUGGACCCAUCAGCAAGUCCGUUAAGAAAGACAUAGACGUCUCCGUGAAGGCACCUUCCGUCUACGUCUUCCCCCCACCGGCCGAAGAACUGGCCCGUCAAGAAACGGCCACUUUGACCUGUUUGAUUUUGGGUUUCCGGCCUCAUGACAUUUUGGUGACCUGGACCCAAGAAGACCGUCCCGUUUCUCCCAGUAGUUUCUCCAUCUUUGGUCCUCAAGAAGAAGGAGAUACCUACACGGUCUACAGCAAGUUGAACGUGCCGGUGAGCGAAUGGCAACGGGGCGAUUCCUUCGCUUGCGUGGUGGGUCACGACGGCGUCCCCAUGAACUUCAUCCAGAAGAAUUUGGACAAGACCAUCG